CCUACGGGGUGCUGCAGUGAGGAAUAUUGGUCAAUGGGCGGAAGCCUGAACCAGCCAAGUAGCGUGCGGGAUGAAGGCCCUACGGGUCGUAAACCGCUUUUGCACGGGGAUAACACCCUCCACGUGUGGAGGUCUGCAGGUACCGUGCGAAUAAGGGCCGGCUAAUUCCGUGCCAGCAGCCGCGGUAAUACGGAAGGCCCGAGCGUUAUCCGGAUUCAUUGGGCUUAAAGGGAGCGUAGGCGGGCGUUCAAGGCAGCGGUAAAAUCGCGCGGCCCAACCGGGCGCCGCAGCUGAAACUGGAGGCCUUGAGUUCACAAAAGGCAGGCGGAAUUCGUGGUGUAGCGGUGAAAUGCAUAGAUAUCAUGAGGAACCCCGAUUGCGAAGGCAGCCUGCCGGGGUGCGACUGACGCUGAGGCUCGAAGGUGCGGGUAUCAAACAGGAUUAGAUACCCGUGUAGUC
rnacentral:rRNA from 1 species